GCUGUGGUUACGUUUCCAUUGGUGAUAUCCAGCACUUUCACAAAAGACAUCGCAAAUAACCAACAGAAAAUCUUCCGGAAGACACGUAUUGCAUGAACUGUUACAAAGGAUCAUCUGUCAGAUUUCCUGCUGCCUCCAGUGUCACAAAACUACGAUGAGGUUAUAUGAACCUUAUAAGUUGUGUUAGUUAGUGGAUGUGCGAAUUUGUUUAUUGAAUACACACUUCAUUAUUAAAAUGUGCGAAAGAAAACAGGAGAUCACGCAUGGAGCAUUGAUAUCGCCAGACUAAUCAUCGGCAGAAGUCAGUUGUACGAACAUUUAAACAUGAUAUUUGCGAGGACAUGACAUUUUAUAUAUCUGCAGCUUUUUUUGCUACUGUGUUUGGGUUUAGUUUCGAUGGUAAUCGAAUCUUGCGAGACAUCCCAGAAUGGAG